rnacentral:rRNA from 1 species
CGGUUGAUCCUGCCGGACCCGACUGCUAUUUGGGUGAGGAUAAGCCAUGCGAGUCGUAUGGGAUACCUAAAUUUCCCAUGGCAAACUGCUCAGUAACACAUGAUCAACUUACCCUAUAGAGAAAAAUACCCUCGGGAAACUGAGGAUAAUGUUUCAUAGUUGAAAAGGCUUGGAAAAGUUUUUCAACGAAAUGGGUAAGAAAAAUGGUUCUUAUCCGCUAUAGGAUAGGAUCGUGUUCGAUUAUGGUUGUUGGUGAGGUAACGGCUCACCAAGCCGAUAAUCGAUAGGGGCCGUGAGAGCGGGAGCCCCGAGAUGGGUACUGAGACAACGACCCAGGCCUUACGAGGCGCAGCAGGCGCGAAACCUCCGCAAUACACGAAAGUGUGACGGGGUUACCCAAAGUGUUCAAUAUUGAGCUGUGGUAGGUGAGUAAUGUCCCCUACUAGAAAGGAGAGGGCAAGGCUGGUGCCAGCCGCCGCGGUAAAACCAGCUCUUCAAGUGGUCGGGAUAAUUAUUGGGCUUAAAGUGUCCGUAGCCGGUUUAGUAAGUUCCUGGUAAAAUCGGGUAGCUUAACUAUCCGUAUGCUAGGAAUACUGCUAUACUAGAGGGCGGGAGAGGUCUGAGGUACUACAGGGGUAGGGGUGAAAUCUUAUAAUCCUUGUAGGACCACCAGUGGCGAAGGCGUCAGACUGGAACGCGCCUGACGGUGAGGGACGAAAGCCAGGGGAGCGAACCGGAUUAGAUACCCGGGUAGUCCUGGCCGUAAACGAUGCAUACUAGGUGAUGGUACGGCCAUGAGCCGUAUCAGUGCCGUAGGGAAACCGUUAAGUGUGCCGCCUGGGAAGUACGGUCGCAAGGCUAAAACUUAAAGGAAUUGGCGGGGGAGCAC